GGCUGCAUACCUAUGGUUGGUUAGAGCAUGGUGUUGAUAAUGCCAAGGUUGCAGGUUCAAUCCUUGUAUUGCAGGCA